CUUUGGAAACUUGCUGUGCUCGCUCAGUCCACGCUGAGGUGGCGUCUGUGUGGUGAUGUAGGAGCGGGAAUUUUUAACCGCUGCAUCCCAUAAAGUUCAGUGAUUCAUCGGAGGAAGUCGGGUUUUAGCUUGGAAAGUAGCGCAGGUGGCGCAGUGAGUGUGAGCGCUAGCGUAGCUCGGUGCUAAUGAUCUAAUCAGAGCUCCACAGGGAACUGAAGUGCUCCACGUCAGCGCGCGCGGGACACAGCGGAUGAGACAGAAGGAGCUUUAACCGUCUCGCGCUAACAUGGGCUGCAGUAAGGUGUGCGUGGGUUUGGUCGGCGCGCUUGUCGUCAUCAUACUGGUGGCGGUGCCAACAGCCAUCUAUGUAAACAGGAGCAAUUCAGGUUCAAGAAGGACUUUCACAUUCGAUGACUUUUAUAAUGAUACUAUUCGGUAUCAAACCUAUAGUUUACGAUGGCUUUCAGACAGUGAAUAUCUCCACAAAAGCAAGGAUGGUAAUGUGUAUCUGCAUAAUGUAGAGACCAUGGCCAGCUCAUUAUACUUGAGCAACUCAACAUUUGCCCAAGUGGAUGCAACAGAUUACUUAGUGUCCGCUGAUAGGAAGUAUAUCUGUUUUGAGAGCAACUUUUCAAAGCAAUGGAGACACUCCUUCACAGCCUCGUAUUCUUUAUAUGAUAUGGAGACUCAGGCUUUCAUCACACCCACACACUUCCCUGAAGUCAUCCAGUUAUUAUUGUUGGCACCUGUGGGAAACAUGAUGGCAUAUGUGUGGAAUUAUGACAUUUACAUCAAGCCAAAUGCUACUGCUGAGCCCAUACAAAUCACUAAUGAUGGAAAAGUCAAUCAGAUUCUCAAUGGAGUACCAGACUGGUCUUAUGAAGAGGAGGUGUUUGUGUCAAAUGAGGGAAUGUGGUGGUCUCCUACUGCAAAGUACCUGGCCUAUGUGCAGAUUAAUGACACAGAGGUGCAUGCCAUUGAAUACUCAAUGUACGGAAAAGGGCAGUACCCCACCACCAUGAUUGUCCCCUACCCCAAGGCUGGUUCCAAUAUUCCAAAAGCAAAGCUGUUUGUAAUUGAUGUUUCAAAUGCAUCUAUUCGUUCAGAGGUGGUGGUGCCCAAAUCCCUCGGGGCAGGUGAUCACUACCUGAGUUCUGUAACAUGGGUAACUGAUGAGCGUAUUGCUGUGCAGUGGCUAACACGCAGGCAAGACCAGGUCCUCCUUCAGAUAUAUGACUAUGAUGGGACCAACUGGAAUGAAAAGACGAAAUUUGAGCAAAACAGCCGAACUGGCUGGGUUGGUCGGUACAACCCUCUGACUCCUUACUUUGCCGCAGACAACAGUAGUUUCUACAAGGUGAUGAGUGAUGCGAAGGGCUACAAACAUCUCCACUAUGUGAAGGAUGGCAAAGCAGUAGCAGUAACCUCAGGCAAAUGGGAAGUCAUCUAUAUAUCAAAAUUAACCAAAGAUGCCAUUUACUAUGUUAGUAAUGAGCAUAUGGGAAGACCAGGCCAGAGAAACCUUCAUAAGAUAUCCUUCGGUACAAGUCACAGUCACUCUGCUGCUGAAUGCCUCACCUGCUCACUCUAUGAGGACAGGUGUCAGUACAAUUCAGGGUAUUUCAGCCAACACGCUUCUUACUUCCGCAUGGACUGCUAUGGACCAGGAUUGCCCAUGUUUACACUUAUGGACAAUCGAGGAUCUCGCAAAGAAAUCCAGGUGCUUGAAGACAACAAAAAGUUGGAACAAAUUCUGAAGACAGAGCUUCAAAUGCCAACAAUAAAACGUGCCACGUUAAAAAUAGCAGGGCUUGAUUUAUGGUACCAGAUGAUGUUCCCUCCUGAUUUUGAUGCAUCCAAAAAAUACCCUCUCUUUAUUCAAGUGUAUGCAGGUCCAGGGAGUCAGUAUGUGGACUAUAAGUUCAGGCUGGAGUGGGCCACGUACCUCUGCAGCACAGAGAAAGUCAUCAUUGCCAGCUUUGAUGGAAGAGGAAGCGGUUUCCAAGGUGAUGAAAUAAUGCACGCCAUCUACGAACAACUGGGCACAUAUGAGGUGGAAGAUCAGAUCUCAGCCGUGAGGAAAUUCAUCGAUAUGGGUUUUAUAGACAAAAACCGAAUAGGAAUGUGGGGAUGGUCAUAUGGUGGCUAUGUGACCUCCAUGGUUCUGGGCUCAGGGAGUGGCCUGUUCAAAUGCGGAAUCGCCGUAGCGCCUGUUUCCAAGUGGGAAUAUUAUGAUGCUGUGUAUACUGAGAGGUACAUGCAUCGCCCUGAGGAGAAUUCAGACAGCUACAGUAAUUCCACAGUAACUAGCAGAGCAAAGAAUUUUAAAUCGGUGCAGUACCUGCUGGUGCACGGCACUGCGGACGGUAUUACUUUCUGUUUGUCCCAAAUAACUGUGUUCAGAGUAAAGCAUCGGUGUACACUUUUAAAGCUCCAGUGUUCACUACAGCUGUCAAGCAAUUUUAUGUGCACAUUUGUCAUACAGCCUGCUUGUAAACUCACAGCUAAUCCCUUGAGUGCUGUAUCAGUGUUUCAGCAAAUCUUUACUGUUCCUUUAAACAUGUAACAUGUCCCUCAUAACGCAUUGUCUAGUUGUGUGUGUGUAUAUAUUUGUGUGUGUGUGUGUAUAUAUAUAUAUAUAUAUAUAUAUAUAUAUAUAUAUAUAUAUAAAAGAGAGAGAGAAAGGCGGUUACAAUUAUCGACACCUUAAUGAUCUUUUGGCCGUUGCAAAAGUAGAAAAGACUUUCAAUACAUAAAUUGUACAUGAACAGUUGCUCAAACUUCCAUUGGGAAAAAAAUGAGUUGAUUCCCGAUUACUUAGCAUAUCAGAUCACGUGACGCCUUUCCACAAGUAUUGACACCUUCGUCCACAGUUAUCGACACCGUUUCACAAUUAUCGACACCCAGAUGAUUAUUUAUAAAAAAAAAUAAUUGGUAUGUGGUAUUAAGUUAACAAAACAUGUUUUUUAUUUAAAAUUUGUUUUACGUAGACUUAUAUUUAGUACAAAAUAUCCAUCCAUCUAUCCAUUAUCUGUUGCCGCUUAUCCUGUUCUACAGGGUCGCAGGCAAGCUGGAGCCUAUCCCAGCUGACUAUGGGUGAGAGGCGGGGUACACCCUGGACAAGUCAUCGCAGGGCUAGUACAAAAUAUAAUUUAUAUAAAUAUAUGGAUGUCAGUGUUUACGUAAAUGAGGAAGUAAUUCUAAUGUUUGUAAACAAAUGAACUGAUAAUGUUUAACCUGUCAGAAAAUCUUUUUGUUCCACUUCCUAAGUAUUUUCGUAGAUCACAUUUUGUUAAUCGUUCAUUGUUUGUAUUAAUUUCUAGUUUUGUAGUUUACCAAUAAAUGUCAACAGGCAAUUGACAUUCUAACCACAUGAAAAUCUAGGUCAAAGGUUGCAUGUCAUUCCUCAAACCAAAAUAUAAAAUGUCUGCUGAUAUUGUAAUACGUGGUAGAUACUUACAGCAAACUGCAAAAAUAUUUUCUGAAUGGAAUAGAAAAAUCUGAAUAUUUCAAGCAUGUAAUUUUUUACAUGCGAGGAAUUUAAUUCUAGUCUAAUUCUGUUUAUUGCAAUCGGAUUCCAAAUACUCUAUAAACAUUCCCUUCUGUUAUGAAUUUGAAAAAAUUAUCAUAAAUCACAGCACUUUUUUUUUAAGUACUUCAUCUACUUCAACAAUGUUACACAAAGAUCAAUCCAUAACAGUUGUAAAUGUCACUUAAUUCCACAGGGUGUCGAUAAUGGUGAACACCAGUGAAAGUGAUCACUAUUAUCGACACCUCACCUGAUUUCUUAAACGCACGUUUAGAUACAAAAUGGCGACUGUCAAAUGAAAGAGUAAGAAACAAAGUAGGUUUCGACAAGGAGAUCAUGAAAUAUUGGUGAAUUUGAGAAGUAAAAACAUGUCCAUGAUCUUUCCACCAUGCUUACCUGCGAUGAUAACGUCCGGGUUUUUCUCAAAUUGAUGAUCGUGCUAAAAAAAAAUUCCAUCUCAAGUAACAAGCUGUGUCAUUAGACGACAAGAUCAAAUGGCGAGGGGGGGUCUUCCGGUUGAUUGAUUAACCAAUAAUAACUGUUGUAACUGAAACUCACCUUUGUAAAAUUGUUUUUUUAUUGGUAAAGCUGAAAACGUGUCGAUAAUCAUGGACUGUCGAGAAUUGUAGCCACUGAUGCAUGUUUUUUUUUCCUUCUAGAUAAUGUCCAUUUCCAGCAAUCUGCUCAGAUUUCCAGAGCCCUGGUGGAGCAGCAAGUAGACUUUGAGGCAAUGUGGUACACAGAUAAAGACCAUAGUCU